rnacentral:rRNA from 1 species
GAGAAGUCGUAACAAGGUUUCCGUAGGUGAACCUGCGGAAGGAUCAUUCACAUUUUGACGACCUCACUUGACUGGGCGCAAGUCUAGUCCAGGGUUACCAACAUCCUCACCAGGCACAUCCCAGCACUAGUGCUGACAUGCAUCCGGUGUCGAUACUGGUUUACCCACUGCAACGUGCAUGGUUCCAUUGGGACCUUGCUUGCCUGGAUUCCAAUUCCCAGGACGUUGCGCUCUCUCCCACCCCUCCCUAGAGUCGCCAUGACUCAACGGGUUAUGCUCUUGGUCUUUGUACCAAGUGAUGACGAGUGGUCCAACGUCGUUGACGUGUGUGGUCACUUGAUCCUAACCAGCCCAAUUGGAGAUUCCAAUAACUGGUUAUGUCCCUAGCGGGAUUAGCGACUCCGUGCUUCGGCAUAAUGUAUCAAUUCAACUUUCAGCGAUGGAUGUCUUGGCUCACACGACGAUGAAGGACGCAGCGAAUUGCGAUAAGCAGUAUGACUUGCAGACUUCUGCGAUUUACCAGACCUCUGAACGUAACCAACACACCACCUCUGCUCGCACGUGGUACUCCCAUCUCAGUGAGUUUCUUUUCCUAGUCCAAGGACCCAUUUUGGAGCGGCGCAGCGUUGUGACACGACCUGCGUCACCAAUGGGGUAUCGGUUGACUGCGAAUGCGCCUCGUUUUGUGGCGUUAAUUUUCGUAUCCCAGAUGCUAAUCACAUGGCCCAGUGCCAAGUGGGAGCUUCUUGUUGUAGUUGCUGCUCUCUCGUAGUUUCCACUGUGAAGCAGUCUGGGAUACUCACCGCGCACCGUGUGCUACAUGUACAUUGGUGUGCCUAUCUUCUCCUGAGAUUGGGUGAGGCUAUCCGCUGAAUUUAAGCAUAUAAUUAAGCGGCAGAAGAGAAAAUAACCAUGAUUCCCCUAGUAACGGCGAGUGAAGC